ACGAAGGAAAAACACAGAGAGAGAGAGAGAGUUGAGUCGAGAGGAGACAGUGGAGAAGAAGAAGAGGAAGGAUAGGUUCAAGGGAGUCUUCUAGCUGAGUUUUAGUUUUGUUCAGGCAACAAAGAACAGAGCAAAAUAGGACAUAAGAUACUAGAAAGACAGCGAGAGAGAGUGAUGAUCUAAGGUGACCAAAGUUGAAGAGGAAGACGGUUGAGAUUGGAGUUCUUGAUUGGGCCUAGGAGACCGAGACCAUACAUCUUGAAGGCUCUACUCAAUAAGAUACUUUUGGAAGUUCAGUGAGUACUCUACUCCAUAUUAGAAUGAGGAUUAUAUACGGGGAAAAUAUAUGAAAGUGCAUUUUAGUUAAGAUUAAUGAAAUUAAAAGAAUACAUGAAUCUUGAUGCUUAUUUGUUAAGAUGAAGGUAAGUGAAUUCGAUCAUUAUGGUAUAGUGUGGAUGUUGUUGUAGUGAUGGCUGUGAAACUGCUGAUCCGGCGGAAUAUGAAAAGGGACACUAGACCGAUGAUCCAGUGGGAUAUAAAAGGGACGCUAGACUGCUGAAUCGGCGGGAUACAAAAGGGAUGCUAGACCGAUGAUCCGACGGGAUAUAAACAAGGACGCUAGAUCGCUGAUCCGGCGGGAUAUAAAACGGACGCUAAACUCCUACCGCCAGAGAAUAAUGGGCGGCCCCCACUUGUGGUAAUCAAUUUGAGGAGUUGGAGAUGAGGUGUGUGGGGUUAUGGUACCGUCAUAAUUCUAUUGCGAGAGAAUGCGACAUCUAUGGUUGUUAAAUUGUUGUAUAAAAAUUUCAUUUGAGUUUACUGAUGUUAAAUUGGAUGUUGGUACUAAAUUUGAUUUAGGUAUGUUAUGGUUGUUAUUUAAAUGUUUUGAUAGUGAGUUGAGUUAUAUAACGUGAUAUAGAAUAUGAAUUUAAUACUUCAUUUUCUUAUGGAAUUUAGUAUUCACUGAGAUGCAGCUCACCUCUUGCAUAUUUCUUGUUAUAGAUGAAUCAGAAGGUAGACUAGUUGUAUCAGAGGACUCUUUUGACUUCAGGGAUCAGCGUGGAAGAUUUGUAGCUGGACCUGUAUAUAUAGUAGGUAUUAAGCUAUGUAUAGAAUGUUCAUGAAUAGUUACGACCUGAAAAAUUUUGUUUAGUGGUUCAUGGGUAGUUUUGAAAAACAUGCUAGAAGUUACUUUGAAGGUGUAAUAUUCUUUUUUGAUAUAAAUAUGACGUGGUUGGUUGGGAUA